GGCGGGGGAGGGGGUUGGUAUCGGCGGUGUGCGUCGUCGGUACCGCCUGACGUGGAAGUCGCAGCCGUCGGCGGCGAGCAGGUACGACACUUCGGUAGGGGCGGGACGAGCGGAAGCAGGCGGCGGCAGCACCUGGCAGAGGAGGCAGGGGCUGUUGUGUAGGAGCGGGAGCAGACGGCGGUAGUGGCUGGCCGAGGAGGCAGGGGCUGUUCAGUAGGGCCAGGACGAGCGACAGAAGGCGGCUUCUUGGGCCGCCGACACAGCUAAGAGACGGAGGGGCUGGUGGAGAAGGCUAAAACGCUUCCCCUCCAACGUAACGGGCCUCCUUUCCGUCUCCUCCCACUAUAACUACUACGUCGUUGUAGUAAUUCCCUCCGUUUCCUCCUCUAACCCGAACUAGGUCGGAACCAGUGACAGCAAAGGAGCGAACUCGUGAAGAACGGGUUCCAUUCUACAGAUACUCAAGAGCGGGUGGGGCCGCUGGGGACCGAUCUCCACCAACUAAUGUGGACUACUCCUCUUCAGAACCUUUGUGCCAGCACCACAGGCGUCCGGGUUGUGCCAGGAACCACACUAAACAGCGGUCUCGAAGGGCCCCACCCAGUACAACGGACCACUCCCGGUCCAAGGUUUCGAUCCUUACUGGACCCUCGUGAUGAACCAACGGGGCCGGUGCGGCCCCCUCUCCUAGCCGCCACGGCUCACGGUGUGCCACCGGCUGCAACACUAGGUCUGCAAAACCUGGAAAAUGUUCACACGACUCCCUGUCCUCCUCCGGCGCCGAGCCCAAUAGCUUCGGCUCACGUAUGCCGAUGAAGUUUUGACCGCCUUGUACCGAACCUGCAUCCGAUGAGCUCUGAUGAAACGGAGCUAACCAUAAUCCUACAGGUUCAACUUCACAGCGUGUUUCAUAGACUCAUUCCUCUUCAUGUACUUCCACGGGAGCUCUACCACACGCCUAUCCGACCUAACAACCCUCCGUAACCACCUACUCACCACGAGAGGGGUUACCGAUAGGUGGGUGUUGUUACGUUUCCUAGCCGCACCGUUUUACUCGCCACACGGUGUGGUAGUUCCGUCGCAGUUGGAUAUAGUCAUGCCCCUAUUGACCCGCGCCGUGUUGUUCUGCCUACACGGUCUCGACAAGCUGGAGAUACGGUACCGAGUAUCUCGGGGAAAAUUCUUCCGGUUCCGUAAGAGACUCAGACUAGAGCUGUUAGGUUUCUUGAAGUGGUUGGUGCGGAGGGUGUUAUUCGAGCACUCCAUGUCUCUGUUCCCCUUCCGCUCCUUUCCCGGCCUGAAAUUGGGCUCGGUCGGAUAACUAGGUCUCGACCACUACUAUAGAUCACCGCUCUCCUUGGUACCGAACAAUCGGUAACCCCUACCUAACUAUACAACAUGAUCGUGAGAGAGCGUCUAGUUCUCCACGGUCUGCUCGAGGCUAGGACUCUAUUCCGGAGCAGGUGCCGGUUACCUAGAGCUUUAGUUGUAGUCAAUAUGUCUUAAUCUAUGGAAAGGAGGUAAUGUAAUACACACGCCAGCAGCUACUAAUGUUACGAUUUCUCCUCACCACAACGUCCGACGAUAACUCCUUGUCUCUUGUUUCUGGGUCCUCGAAGACGCCUCCUUUCCUCCGUCCGCCGUCUCUCCCUCUCCCUCUGACUCCUCUCCUGCCGAUCCGAAAACCUCCUCCUCUCCUUGGCUUUGCUGAACCGAUUGGCCCGAUAUAUGCUCGAGAAGCACAGGUACACGCUCUUCUUGUCAGUCUGGGGAGGCGGUUACGGUCAGUAACGAGGCCGCCUGUGCGUAUUGAGGGCUGUUCUUAGCUGCAGACGGUAACCGCGCUCGUUCUUGGAGCUAGGAGGAGGCAGGCGGUGAUGGCGCUCGUUCUUGGGGCUAGGAAGUGGAUGCCCAACUGCUAAACGAAGUCUAGUGCCUUCCAACCCAACUACCUCACGAACAGAAAUCAAAAACAAAACUGAAACACUUUGAAAGAUGGAUACUACUUUGACACAUUAUAACUACUUUGAUACAUAUACAUACCUAUUUUGAACGAUGAUAACCAUUGUACACAACCUAUAUAAACGCAAGUACUGAUA
rnacentral:rRNA from 1 species